GACGAACGCUGGCGGCGUGCCUAAUACAUGCAAGUAGAACGCACAGUUUAUACCGUAUCUUGCUACACCAUAUAGUGUGAGAUGCGAACGUGUGAGGAACUCGUAGUGAACCUGCCUGGGAGCCGGGGGUAGCUAUUGGAAACGAUAACUAAUACCGCAUAAUAUUAAUUAUUGCGGAAAAAUUAAUUGAAAGGUCCAAUUGCACGACUACAAUAUGGACGUGCGUUGUAUUAGCUAGUAGGGGAGGUAACGGCUCACCUAGGCGACGAUACAUAGCCGACCUGAGAGGGUGAUCGGCCACAAUGGGACUGAGACACGGCCCAGACUCCUACGGGAGGCAGCAGUAGGGAAUCUUCGGCAAUGGACGAAAGUCUGACCGAGCAACGCCGCGUGAGUGAAGAAGGUUUUCGGAUCGUAAAGCUCUGUUGUACGGGAAGAAAGGGUGUGAGAGGAGAAAGUUCACAGUGUGACGGUAUCUUAACAGAAAGCGACGGCUAACUACGUG
rnacentral:rRNA from 1 species